AUAACUUUGUUUCAUCCUCCGGAUUUUGUUUACCACUCAAAACAAACUCUAUCAAAGAAGUUGUCUGUCAAAUCAGAAUCCGAUCUCAACCCAUCAUCGGCUUUGGCGAAUUUAUCUUCUGCAAAAAGAUUAUCUUACAAAUAGGGCAUGAUGGUCAAGUCCGUUCAGUUGCUAAACAAACUGCACCAGCCACAGACCUGAAGGGAGAUUAGAUGCUGAAAAAUAUUUUUUUGGACGUUAAGAACAUAUUCGAGACUCCCAUGAGUGUACUUCGGACAGAAAAGAUCACAACUGAUGUAGAGGAUCCAGCUGCGUGCAAAAAUCAUAAAUACAGUAAGAGUAAAUUUUCAGGAGUCCACCAGUUAAUGUGCCACAUGGUCCUGGUGAUUUGGAUCCAAUUGUGCAGUUAUUAUGUACAAAUAAUGUUUACUGCCUCCUACCUCCAUCACCUGUUAUCCCGCCGCCGCAUCUCUAUCACGGAAGGUUUUUAACUGAAAAUCCGGACCUGACUGACAGGUCGUUAGGGGUUCGCGGUUCUGAAAACAGGGUGCAAGAUCAUGUGUAGAAACCAUCUCCAUGUUCCUGGGCUAGACAUCGUAUCUCAUUUUGGCUUGUCUACAGGGUCAGAAAUGGAUGGUACCUCUAAGUAAAUAGACUGUAAAGGUUUUCAUAUAAAACUUGUAGUAUGUUUGUUGUGUUACUGUGAAAUUGACAAAUCACAGUUAACGUUACGUUUGUCAUUACUCCGAAUGUACGCAAUGGAACUGAUUGGUCCUUUUCAGCAUUUGGAUAUGAGUUUCCUAUAGAUGAAAUGCCUGUCCUGUGCCUUGUGAAUGGAGAUGGAUAUAUUAGGUGACCUGAUCAACUUUUUACUUGAAACCUAUGUGGUCAUUGGGAAGAAAAAAACGUACCGAUGGGAGAAACCAUCUUAGAUGACGGAAUUAUUACUAGAAAGACAGAUAUUUAAUUCAUUUUGGUAUAUUCUUAACAUAUGACUUCUUGGGUGCGCUUCGUUUAGAAGUUAAAUUAUAAAACCAGCACAAUAUUUGAACGCUGCGUAUGUAAAGAUGUGAAGCUUGACAGAUGUUCAAGGAUGUGAAGCAUCAUUCAACUAAUUCUUGAGGUUUUAUUUUGACUUCUACAAGAAAAAAAAAAACUUUGUCAGUAGGUACCAAUCUGCUUUAGGGUCAGCAAUACUACCAGUGAUGAUAAAUUAGUAUCAAUAUUGAUACCUGUUGAGUUUGUAGUUUGACAACGUGUUCUCGUUGCACAUGUUUAAAUUGUAAUUUAUAUUAUGGAUUUUUUCA